rnacentral:snRNA from 1 species
GGCCAUUUGGAUGAACCAUCUC